rnacentral:rRNA from 1 species
UAGGGAAUAUUGGGCAAUGGGUGAGAGCCUGACCCAGCCAUGCCGCGUGUAGGAAGACGGCCCUACGGGUUGUAAACUACUUUUAUAUAGGAACAAAAAGGGGGAUGCGUCCCCUGUUGAGGGUACUAUAUGAAUAAGCACCGGCUAACUCCGUGCCAGCAGCCGCGGUAAUACGGAGGGUGCCAGCGUUGUCCGGAUAUAUUGGGUUUAAAGGGUACGUAGGCGGGCUAUUAUGUCUGAGGUGAAAGCUUUCGGCUCAACCGGAAAAUUGCCUUAGAUACUGGUAGUCUUGAGUACAGGAGAGGUGGGCGGAAUUCAUGGUGUAGCGGUGAAAUGCAUAGAUACCAUGAGGAACACCGAUAGGGAAGCCAGCUCACUGGACUGUCACUGACGCUGAGGUACGAAAGCGUGGGGAGCGAACAGGAUUAGAUACCCCCGUAGUCC